AGUGAACGCUGGCGGUAGGCCUAACACAUGCAAGUCGAACGGCAGCACAGUAAGAGCUUGCUCUUACGGGUGGCGAGUGGCGGACGGGUGAGGAAUACAUCGGAAUCUACUUUUUCGUGGGGGAUAACGUAGGGAAACUUACGCUAAUACCGCAUACGACCUACGGGUGAAAGCAGGGGAUCUUCGGACCUUGCGCGAUUGAAUGAGCCGAUGUCGGAUUAGCUAGUUGGCGGGGUAAAGGCCCACCAAGGCGACGAUCCGUAGCUGGUCUGAGAGGAUGAUCAGCCACACUGGAACUGAGACACGGUCCAGACUCCUACGGGAGGCAGCAGUGGGGUAUAUUGGACAAUGGGCGCAAGCCUGAUCCAGCCAUACCGCGUAGGUGAAGAAGGCCUUCGGGUUGUAAAGCCCUUUUUUUGGGAAAGAAAAGCAGCAGGUUAAUACCCCGCUGUUCUGACGGUACCCAAAGAAUAAGCACCGGCUAACUUCGUG
rnacentral:rRNA from 1 species